UACAGGAGGUGGCUAAGUAUGUACCCUUGUGGGGCCCCUGUGUUGAGGAUCAGCGAAGUGGAGGUGUUGUUUCCUACUUUUACCACCUGGGGGCGGCCGGUCAGGAAGUCCAGGACCCAGUUGCACAGGAUGGGAUAGGGCAGUGUGCAGUGCGAUGGCGAUUGCAUCAUCUGUGGAUCUAUUUGGGCGGAACAAUGAUGGACAUCUUGAAGCACAGGGGAACUGCAGACUGGAAUAGGGAGAGAUUGAAUAUCUCCGCAAACACUCCAGCCAGCUGGUGUGCGCAUGCUCUGAGGACGCGGCUAGGGAUGCCGUCUGGGCCAGCAGCCUUGCGAGGGUUAACACGCUUAAAUGUCUUACUUACGUCGGCCACGGAGAAGGAGUAACACAUCCAUGGUCAUAAUUUCUAAAUAUGAAGUGUGCAUGUUCAUGAUAGCAUUCAUAGGCCCUCGCAGGUCUGUGAGAUCUUCACAAUUGCUGUAAUAAACUGUGCAGAAUCACGAACGGCAUUGAUCACUUGCACACUGCACACUGCAAUCCAGGUCAUUUGGUUGUGCUAUUAGAGAGAAGCAUAGUGAUAACACAUUAAUACUGUAUGUUGUAUAAAUAA